CGGGGCGUAGCGCAGCUUGAUAGCGCGCCUGCCUUGGGCGCAGGAGGUCCCGGGUUUAAAUCCCGGCGCCCCGACCA
rnacentral:tRNA from 2 species